AAAGGGAAAAAUAAAGUUUUAAAUAAAGCAGACACUAUAAUGAUAACGAUCGAACGAUUGCACGAGAAUAAUGACAAUAACUGAACAAGUGAAUGAGAACAAUGUUAAUCAAAGAAGGAGUGAACGAGGAAGAAGAAGGAGAACAAAUGAAUGAAAACGAAGGAGAAUGAAAACGAGAAAAAAAUAAUAGAAAUGAUCGAACGAGUGCACGAAAACAAUGGCAAGCACGGAACGAGUGAACGAGAGCAAUGGCAAUCAUGGAACGAUUGAACGAGAACUAUGUCAGCCAGAGAACGAGUAAACGACGAUGAAAAAGAAGGAAAACGAAUGAAGGAAAACAAAGGAAAACAAGAAAAAAAUGACAUAAUAGAGUGAAGCGAGAAAGUAAAAAUUGAAUAGAAUAAAGACCGUUAGAACCAAUAUGAAAAAAUAAUCUACACUCGUUCUAAGUUUAAGAAGUAUAGAAAAAAUUAAUUUCUAUAUCUAUAUUGCAACCCAUGUAGAAAUAUUUGUAUUGUAUUAAAAUUUUGUCGCCACACCACUUUCUUUACCUGUUAUCAGUACGACUAGUAUAAAAUAUUUCUCAUAUUUACAAAACGGCAACCAUGCCAUUUGCUAUACCUAGUAAAUUUCAACAUAUAUAUAUAUAUAUAAAAUUGCUAUAAAAAAUAAAUUUUCCGCUAGCUGUAGAAUCAUAGAUAUAUAUUACUUUAUAAAUAAUCAAACAAAAUUAAGUGUUGUAAACAUACUUGUUGGUGAUAGCAAACAAUAAAUCUCCCCUUGACACUCUGAAAUAAGAAUGGUUUAGCCAAGAACUUGAGAAAGAGACAGUUAGAAAUNGUUGCCUUUCACUAUGGUGUGAUUCUUGCUUUUCCAAGUACAAUGACUGCAGCCCA
rnacentral:lncRNA from 1 species